AACGAACGCUGGCGGCAGGCUUAACACAUGCAAGUCGAACGCAUCGCAAGAUGAGUGGCAGACGGGUGAGUAACGCGUGGGAACAUACCCUUUUCUACGGAAUAGCUCUGGGAAACUGGAAUUAAUACCGUAUACGCCCUACGGGGGAAAGAUAUAUCGGGGAAGGAUUGGCCCGUGUUGGAUUAGCUAGUUGGUGGGGUAAAGGCCUACCAAGGCGACGAUCCAUAGCUGGUCUGAGAGGAUGAUCAGCCACAUUGGGACUGAGACACGGCCCAAACUCCUACGGGAGGCAGCAGUGGGGAAUAUUGGACAAUGGGCGCAAGCCUGAUCCAGCCAUGCCGCGUGAGUGAUGAAGGCCUUAGGGUUGUAAAGCUCUUUCACCGAUGAAGAUAAUGACGGUAGUCGGAGAAGAAGCCCCGGCUAACUUCGUGCCAGCAGCCGCCGUAACAC
rnacentral:rRNA from 1 species